GGGAAAUUGGCACUAGCCUAGACUACUAAUAGAUAUGGACUUUAAAUUUGAAGAAUUUGGCGGUGGUUUAAUCUUAUUAGAGGAAUCUGUUUUUGAAUCGAUAUGCCACGUGGGAUCUUACUUGUUUUAUUUAGCUUAUAUACCGUCAUUAUCAGAUAAUUUUUAGAGAAAUUAAUUAUUAAAAUUUAUUAAAGAGAUAAGAGAAAUUAGAUCAAGGUGUAGUUUAUGAACAAGUUAAAAUGGAUUACAAUAAAAUAUAUUUAUUACGGAGUAGGGGUGAGAAAUAAAUGCUAUGAAGGAGGAUUUAAUUGUAAUUAAAGUUUAGUAAGCUUUAAAGAUAUAAGCACUAAAUCAUGUACACACCGCCCGGUCCCCCCUCCAAAGUUUGGGGGUAGGCGCGUCAUUUCUUUUAGUACUUCUAAUAUUUUAAAGGUUUUUAGCGACCUCGAUCUUGAAAAAAAAUGUGUGUGUCGUGCACC
rnacentral:rRNA from 1 species